rnacentral:tRNA from 1 species
GCCCCUAUUGUCUAGUAGAUCAGGACAUCUAUCUUUCAAGGAGGCAAUGGGGAUUCGACUUCCCCUAGGGGUA